rnacentral:rRNA from 1 species
UGAACGCUAGCUACAGGCUUAACACAUGCAAGUCGAGGGGCAUCAUGAUCAAAGCUUGCUUGAUGAUGGCGACCGGCGCACGGGUGAGUAACGCGUAUCCAACCUUCCCCCUAGUAGGGCAUAGCCCGGCGAAAGUCGGAUUAAUACCCUAUGUUUUCCAAUGAGGACAUCUGAGCUGGAACAAAGAUUCAUCGCUAGGGGAUGGGGAUGCGUCCGAUUAGCUUGCCGGCGGGGUAACGGCCCACCGGGGCGACGAUCGGUAGGGGUUCUGAGAGGAAGGUCCCCCACACUGGUACUGAGACACGGACCAGACUCCUACGGGAGGCAGCAGUGAGGAAUAUUGGUCAAUGGGCGAGAGCCUGAACCAGCCAAGUAGCGUGGCAGGAUGACGGCCCUAUGGGUUGUAAACUGCUUUUAUGCGGGGAUAAAGUUCGGCACGUGUGCCGUUUUGUAGGUACCGCAUGAAUAAGGACCGGCUAAUUCCGUGCCAGCAGCGGC